rnacentral:lncRNA from 1 species
AGGAGAAGCAGGAGAAAAGGAAGCCUGGACGGUAUCAUCUUGAGGGAACAUACUUAAACGAGUGGAAGCAGAUUAAAGGAAAAGAAGAGAAACCAAACCAAGACAACUUAGUGUGACUCAUGCAGUUCCAGGUAAUAAAAAACUUACAGGUUUUUGAGAUCCUAUUAACUGUUUACAUAAUGAUGUUUAAAGUUUCUGGCUUGCAAUAUGCUUUCAUGACUUCACAAAAGACCCAUAUUAGCUUAUUGUUAUAUCUUCAAUAUUAUAAAAGUGUUCAGAUGAUUCAGAAGAGACAGAGCCUAUUUGUGAGGUCAGGGGAGCUGAUCAUCUCUAAGCAUCUAAUGUGCUUAUCACCAGCUCUGCCCCCAAGUUAGAAAGAUUGCAUAACAUUAGGUGUUGUCAGAACACGGUAAGGGAAAUGACUUCAUUCAAGAUCUAACGAUGUUGGUGCUCCAUACCAACCAACUGCUAUUUUCCCCUUUUUGUUUACCCAACAAUAUCCCCCAAGCUCGCUGAUCCAUGUUGAGCCAUAUAAUUUGAGAAGCCAGCCUCACAUGUGAGCAGAAAGUAAAUACUUACCUAAUGACUAAGAGAUUGAUGCAAUGAUUGAGUGCGAUUGUUCCUGCGGCUUUUUGAUCAAUGCCACUGGAUGAAAUGAAUACUAUGGACACCUACUGUCAAAGCAUAUGUUAGCUUAACUUUAACAAGGCAGCAUAAAUGACACUCAGUCUUGUUUUAGUUUUUCAGCCACACCCAUGGCACAUGGAAGUUCCCAAGACACCGACUGAAUCUGAGCCACAGCUACAACCUACACCACAGCUGCAGCAACACUGGAUCCUUGAAUCCACUGCACCACAGCAGGAACUCCUUGUUUUUGCUUUUGAUCCAUUUAUUAGUUUAUCUAAUAAUGGGUUGAAAGCCACAACAAUGAAAAAUUCUUAACAAUCUAAGAACUAAAUAAGACUUAAACUGAACAAUUUCAGUGUGAUUAAUUUAUUACGAAGCAAAAAAAAUUUCAAUAUUCAAUUUGACUAGGGACCCAGACAGAGGAUGCACCUAAUAUAAAAAUUAAGCAUCUGUCCUUUAACAAGUUAAUAAACUGACGCUAACAUUUUCCCUUCUGUAAUUUAAAGUGGCAUUUAAUUUUGAAUUUAAAUAUUUAAACGGUUAUCCACUGACCCAAACAAAGUACUAUGAAGAAGAGUAAAAAUGUUCACUUAUUAAAGUCAUAAAUGAAAUUGCUUCAUUUUGGAAGGAACAGCACACCAAGGUAAUCUUUUAUUCAAUAAACAUAAAUGAGCAUUUUAAUCAGUUAAGAAAGACUGUUAGUAUGGUCGGAAACCUUUACAAAAAAAAAAAUGUUAUUUGGGGGAUUCUCAAAGCUAGUAAGGGUGUGUAGUUACCACAUGAGAAAAAAUACACUCUCUUUUAGCUUGAUCAACUAUAUUUUUAUGCCAAAACAUAAACACUGCUGGUUUAAAAAAGAGAAGAAGAAGAUGGAUGGGUUUCUUUUUUUGUUUUGACUGUGGUCUCUGGUAAAAGUGGAAACCACUGUUUGAAAACAUUUAUAGCUAAAUAGUCCUAAAUACUUUUAAAAUCCUAAAGGAAAAGAAAAAUCCACAUCUACAGUUACUUAUCUUCCAUGGGGCCAAGGAAUCCAAUGUUACAAGUUCACAAGAAUCCACAUUAUUCUCCUCCCUAAUGCAGCCAAGCCUUGUGAGUACUUGUGACAUCACAGCAUGUUCUCACAAAAAUUAAUUUCCAAUCAAAAAGGCAGGACAAUGCUUCCUUUCAGCAGAGGGACAGAUAAGGUAACAGAGGGACACUGUGGUUUAAGCACAGAUAGUCUACUAUGAGGAACAAGAAGAAUCUAAGUGUUCUUGACUCUAUAUUCCUUUAUGUUUCUCCUGGUGGACUCUGAGUUUACUUUAAAAGAGCUAUUAAGAAUCUGCCUCUGGAAAAGAUCUUUUAAAAAUCACAAACACAGAGACACUUGGAAAGGACAGGAGGAGAAAACAACACAGGUCAUCUUAUAAAACUGAUUAUGUGAAGUCUCUCCACACAGUACAUAUGUCAGCGUUGAGGAAAAACAAUAUCCAGAUAAAUUCAGCAGAUAUUCUUUCUUCUGGAGAAAAACCUAUGUCUUUCUGUACAUUGUGAAGCAAAGAGGGUAGGGUGGGAGCAGUUAGGUUUUAUCCAUGAGUAUAAACAACAGGCUGGCUUUUGAAAAAUAAGCCAAACCCAAAAUAGCCCAGGAAAAAAAUAUUUUGUAAUAAAAAAGGGCUAUAUAUAAGUGCAUACAUACAUAUAUAUAUAUAUAUUUUUCCCCCCCUGUCCAAAUCUGGAAUCCUUACUAUCUUAUUUUAAACAAACCAGAGAUUGCAAGCUUCAAUCUGUUUGGAUAGAAAAGAAUUUAUAUAAAUGUUUUGUUCCAGCCCAAAAGGGAAAGAGAGUUUAAAUACACAGUGCAUGAAAGAUGCAUGCCCAACUUCAAAACAGCUUAGUGCAGAGGAGAGGAAAAAUAACCCAACCUUCUGUUAGUCCUUAGCAGCAGUCUUUAAACUGAAAUAUCUUGUGAUUUGCAACAUCGUUUCCAUGACCCCAACCCUAAGCGAUUAACCAAAAUUUCAUAACUGCCCUGCUCUGGUGCCUCUUCGGGUGGGGAGAACAGGAGGGUCAACGAAGAAUAAUGGAAGCAAAAAUCUGUAUUUUGCACCCUUCCUCUGCACUUGAGAAAGAAAAAACCAGGGCAGAUAAAUCUGUAUAAUACUAAACCAAAUCUCCUUAAUUCCAGUCAGCUUUUAUCAUUCAGUCACUGAGUCUGUGUGUGGAAAAAUUCAUGCUAAUUCCCCCUAGCAACAGCCUCAGCCUAUCAGGAAGACUUUAUGUACCAUGCAGCUGCCAGCCAGAGAGAAUAACUCUAAGUAGGUCAGGCCUGUAUUUCUAAAAAUGCUACGGUCUAGUAACCCCACUGUCCUGUCUGUCUGCCCUGCCCCAUAAUAACCUCAAUUGCUUGGUGACACAAUGACAUACUACCCUGUUAGAGAGCAAUCACAUCAUGCUACAUUAUUCUGCUUCGGGCAUGACUGCUGGGUGAAGGACCCACGGAGGGGCAGCAUUAAUCAGGCAGCCAUUCACGUCCACCAGCACUUCAGUCCCGAAAUGGGGACUGCAUUAAUGACCAGCUGUUUGAACGAACACAAACAAAAUAAUGUCUUCCACCCUGUUGGGUGCACAGAAUGAGCUAUUCUGAUCUGGCAGGUUCCGCUCCUUGACUAAAUCGAAGAUGUAAAUUAAACGGGCUCCGACAAUGUCAGCUUUGGCAACCUCAGAGUAAGUAUAUUUAAAUUAUAUUACGUGGGAUUCAAAAAGCUAUUGAUUUAAUAUACAGGGCUUUCCCCUGCCUGCGCGUCUCCCUAAUCCACAUUAAAAAGGGAAAUGCAUAAACGGGUAACGUAAUACAUAUGCGCGUAUUACCCAGGAAGCCGAGAGAGAGUGGGGCUGAACUGAAAUUGACUUCUCUUCGGGCAGAGAAACAAAGCGGGUGUGGAGUAAUUGUGCAGUGUGAACACAAAUACAAAUAGGCAAUGAAUGCCGUGGAGGAGCACUGAAAACAAAUAAGAGUAAACAUCCUAAGCCUACCAACCAAUCAGCUCCUCCCACCGUGUCUCUGUGGGGGCUGUGGGCGCACCGCAAUCGCUAAGAACCAGAGACAAGGGAGGGAAGUGAAAACGUGGCCUUAGAAUCUCAACCACGGUGGUGCCCCAACUUGGCCUGGGGUUAUUCAGGCACUGCUGUUUGGCUUCAGGACAACCAAGGCUCCUUCAAGGUUUAUACCAGGGCUAGCAACAAAAAGCAGAACCCCACAGGAGUUUUCAAAUUCUAAAAUGGGCAUUUUCAAAUUCAAUUGACCCAAUUUAUCAGAAUAUAGCUUUUAACUCCUCUCCAUGUUAAUGCACAAAAACACGUAAACAAACACUUCCUGAGGAUGCAGAGAUAAGGGAGACGAGCAGUGCUGUUUUGGGCUAUUUGGGGGAAUAUCUUGCACUGAUGGGGCAAAGUGCUAAUAUUU